rnacentral:rRNA from 1 species
CAAUAGCGUAUAUUAAAGUUGUUGCAGUUAAAAAGCUCGUAGUUGGACCUUGGACCUGGACAGGCGGUCCGCCUCACGGCGUGUACUGUCUUGCUGGGUCUUUCCUCUUGGUGAUCUGUUGUUUCGGCAGCAGGGAACCAGGACUUUUACUUUGAAAAAAUUAGAGUGUUCAAAGCAGGCUCGGCGCCGGAAUAUAUUAGCAUGGAAUAAUAAAAUAGGACGUGCGGUUCUAUUUUGUUGGUUUUUGGAAUCGCCGUAAUGAUUAAUAGGGACAGUCGGGGGCAUUAGUACUCACAUGCUAGAGGUGAAAUUCUUGGAUUUUGUGAAGACUAACUUCUGCGAAAGCAUUUGCCAAGGAUGUUUUCAUUAA